GAGGGAGUAGCACAGUGGUAAAGUGCAUGCCUAGCAUGCACAAGGUCCUGGGUUCAAUCCCCAGUACCUCCA
rnacentral:tRNA from 1 species